rnacentral:misc_RNA from 1 species
AAGUCGUAACAAGGUUUCCGUAGGUGAACCUGCGGAAGGAUCAUUAACAAAUCAUUUGGUUGUGUGUGUGUAGGGGAAAGUUAUUUUUCUCAUACCACAACAACAAUAUCAGCACCGGGUAUAGGAUUUCAUUAUGAAAUUACUGCCCUGUGAAUUCGUGAUAUAUAUGAUGGUAUAAGAAGGGAAACCUCCUUAUUUUCGUAUGUAUUGCAAUAUUAACCGUUUUUAUUGAUUGACUGAUUGAAUCAUUUAUUAAUAGUAACAACUUUUAACAAUGGAUCUCUUGGCUCUU